ensembl:snoRNA
UGGCAUCCUUGAAAACCCCCCAGUUGCUAUUUGUGAUCUCUGGGACAAGAAAGGGUGCAAGAAUAAAUCUUAGAAUCAUCCAAAGCUGAGAGCUGUGUGUCAGUAGCUCUCGGUUAUUUCACCUCUAAGACAAAACACAUU